UGUAAGCGUAUACCAAAGUUGUUGCAGUUAAAACGCUCGUAGUCGGAAUUUGGCAGUUCCGGAAGUGUGCACGUCGUGUGCGCACUUUGCGGGGACUGCUUUUGUGGUCUUGCGUAGGAUGAGGCACUUUCAUUAGUGAACGUCCUCACGCAACCACUCUUUACUGUGAGAAAAUCAGAGUGCUCAAAGCAGGCAUCUGCCGUGAAUGUAUUAGCAUGGAAUAAUAGAAUAGGACUCGGUUCUAUUUUGUUGGUUUGUUGGGACUGAGUAAUGAUUAAGAGGGACAGUUGGGGGCAUUUGUAUUCCGGCGCUAGAGGUGAAAUUCUUAGAUUGCCGGAAGACAAACUGCUGCGAAAGCGUCUGCCAAGGAUGUUUUCAUUGA
rnacentral:rRNA from 1 species